rnacentral:rRNA from 1 species
GAUGAACGCUGGCGGCGUGCCUAAUACAUGCAAGUCGAGCGAACGGACGAGAAGCUUGCUUCUCUGGUGUUAGCGGCGGACGGGUGAGUAACACGUGGAUAACCUACCUAUAAGACUGGGAUAACUUCGGGAAACCGUAGCUAAUACCGGAUAAUAUUUUGAACCGCAUGGUUCAAAAGUGAAAGACGGUCUUGCUGUCACUUAUAUAUGGAUCCGCGCUGCAUUAGCUAGUUGGUAAGGUAACGGCUUACCAAGGCAACGAUGCAUAGCCGACCUGAGAGGGUGAUCGGCCACACUGGAACUGAGACACGGCCCAGACUCCUACGGGAGGCAGCAGUAGGGAAUCUUCCGCAAAGGGCGAAAGCCUGACGGAGCAACGCCGCGUGAGUGAUGAAGGUCUUCGGAUCGUAAAACUCUGUUAUUAGGGAAGAACAUAUGUGUAAGUAACUGUGCACAUCUUGACGGUACCUAAUCAGAAAGCCACGGCUAACUACGUG